GACGAACCGUGCGGACGUUAUUCGGAAUCACUGGGCUUAAAGCGCGUGUAGGCGGGCCGCCGCGUCGGCUGCUGAAAUCCCCCGGCUCAACCGGGGAAGGGGCACCGAUACGGGCGGCCUGGAGGGGGGUAGGGGGGUCUGGAACUUCCGGUGGAGCGGUGAAAUGCGUUGAGAUCGGAAGGAACGCCCGUGGCGAAAGCGAGGCCCUGGACCCUUACUGACGCUGAGACGCGAAAGCCAGGGGAGCGAACGGG
rnacentral:rRNA from 1 species